UAUGGCCACAUCACACUGAAACACCAGUUCCUGUAUGAUCACCAAAGUUAAGCAAUGUCGAACCCGGUCAGUACCUAGAUGGGUAACCACUUAUGAAUACCAGGUGCUGUAAG